rnacentral:rRNA from 1 species
CCCCUAGACGUUCUGGGCUGCACGCGCGCUACAAUAAUACGCACAGCGAGUAUCACCGAGCUCGAAAGGGCAAGGUAAACAAUAGAAAAGGUACUGUAAUGGUUAUAGAUCCUUGUAAUUAUUGAUCUUCAACGAGGAAUUCCUGGUAAGUAUGUGUCAUCAUCACGCACUGAUUACGUCCCUGCCCUUUGUACACACCGCCCGUCGCUCCUACCGAUUGGGUGAGCCGAUGAAACUCUCGGAUGUAGGCUAUUCAUAGCCCGCAGAAGAGAUUUGAAUCGUAGCGCUUAGAGGAAGGAGAAGUCGUANCA